rnacentral:tRNA from 1 species
CGCUGGCCUCGGCCGUGGCCUUUGCGGCGAUCCCGCUGGCGCCGGGCGGCAUCGCGCUGGCGCUGGUGCUGGCGGCGUUCGAAUUCACCGGGCUGGUGU